rnacentral:rRNA from 1 species
AUUGAACGCUAGCGGCAUGCCUUACACAUGCAAGUCGAACGGCGGCGGGGGAGCUUGCUCCCGCCGGCGAGUGGCGAACGGGUGAGUAAUACAUCGGAACGUACCCAGUAGCGGGGGAUAGCCCGGCGAAAGCCGGAUUAAUACCGCAUACGCCCUACGGGGGAAAGGGGGGGAUCGCAAGAACUCUCCCUAUUGGAGCGGCCGAUGGCUGAUUAGCUAGUUGGUGGGGUAAAGGCCUACCAAGGCGACGAUCAGUAGCUGGUCUGAGAGGACGACCAGCCACACUGGGACCGAGACACGGCCCAGACUCCUACGGGAGGCAGCAGUGGGGAAUUUUGGACAAUGGGCGAAAGCCUGAUCCAGCAAUGCCGCGUGUGCGAAGAAGGCCUUCGGGUUGUAAAGCACUUUUGUCAGGGAAGAAAUCGUUUGGGUUAAUACCCCGAGCAGUUGACGGUACCUGAAGAAUAAGCACCGGCUAACUACGUGCCAGCCGCCGCAGUAA